CUCAGCUGUGCAUGUGUCUGUGUGUGUGUGUGUGUGCAUACUGUAUGUGGAUGUAUAUGUGUGUCUUUGUAUUUGGAGCACUGCAGACGAUUCACAGCUACAGCUGUGUUAAAUUUGCCUAGAUAUUGCUCUGCAGUCAAACAGUCACGCUGCUGAUUACUCUGAAAUCCUAUCAGUACUGUUCUGCCUACAGUACUCUUUCAAAAUGAGCUCUACCAAUCAUGUUGUAGGAAUGUGAUAAGGAUAUUUGUCUUACCAAUGUCUCCAGUAUUGUUGAGAUGAAGGAGAAGGAAUAAUUUACCAUUGACAACAGCUGCUAAGGAAAAAGAUGGUGUUUGUGCGUGUGUGCGCGUACAUGUGUGUUCACUUAUGAUUUGUUCCCGGACAUUUCUUUCGGAAGCAAUGAUAUUGGGAAAGUCGUGAGAGUGCAGGUGUGUGUGUUGGGGGGUAUGGUGAAGGCUGAAGAGGGUGGGGCCCAAGAUAGGUGGUUGAUAUUGCCUUUUUUUAAAUAUACUUGUCUAAGUAGAUUUCACGUUAGUGUUCCUUAUAGCAGAGUUUUGCCACUUUAGAAUCCUUGAUGUCUUUUGUGUUUAUGAGUGUCUGUGGGUUUAGACUUGGCAGUGAUAGUGCAGGUGUGUUAGGGGGAAUAAAUAACAAGUAGUCACCCAAGAAAUUAUUGAAGAAGAAAGGCUGUGACUCUGCAGAUUGACUACACAAAUAAUUAUCACUCUCUCUCUCCCAGUCAAUUGCUGAGAUGUUGACUCACAUCACAUUAUCUUUUGAGUUCUUUGAUUUUUUUUAUUUGAAGCAAUCGGUGUGUCAUGUACUUGCGACAGUAUACUCACAUUCUAGAUGAACCGUCUGUCUCCGUCUUCAUUACCAGACGUCGAAUAACCAACCAUGGCAUGAAAAACACAUUUGAUUGUGACAUUGGUUAAGCCUAUAUUGACCUACAAGAGACCCCUCCCUCGACUGGCCUGGGGGUUUCGGAAGUGUUUGCGGUAGACAAUGAGAUCAGCGGUAAUUAUGGAGAAUGUAUGUCUUCUGUGGAUAGGCACCAACUUGCCUUCGCGGAAGGCAUUGCGAAGCGCGGCACUUCCGACCCAUAGCCUAUUGGUGUGCGGUCCAUAACAGAAACCCCUCGAGGCGCAGGGCGGGCAGGCUAAGGAUAUGGACGGGGAAUAGACACGAGGAGGAGGAGAUGGGAGGAUAUUGAUCGGCUACAACUCGACGUGGACCGUUCAACACAUGCAGUCACUAAAGAGGAAAGAAAGAUGACAAGGAAAAGAGCUGCCACUGAGAGAAAGAAGAGAAGAGAGAGUGUGAACGGUGAAGCUGGACUGAAAGAGAUGCCAGGAGCCCUGGGUCUGGGAAUCACACUCAUCAAACACAGUAUGAAGCUGCCUGGACCGGAUGACGGCGCUGCUAUACAGACUGGCCAUGCAGAAAAACUCCCUCUUUGUAGGUGAAUGAGUGGCCCAGUCAGGAUUACUUACUGCAAGGGUCUUAACCCACCAACCAGCAGUACUCCAUCUCAGAGGCUAAAAACAGACAUGGAGACACACUUAACAAGGCCUUAUUAGAUUACUAGUGAUCCUCUGCUGAAUGUGUUUAAAUAAGUCACAAGCUCCCAGGUAUUCAGUGCUAACCCAGUGACAAGAGACGGCCGUCUUUGCUUGGACUGUGCCAAACAAUGUUGGCAUUUUGGGUCCUUGUGGGCAGCCGUGUGGGUGUCUGUCAGCUGCUCAGUAGUCAGUGUAGAUCCUGUGGGGCAGUCAGCAGCUACAUCUGGCUACUGGGUCGCUGAUGGCUACCAUGUUCUUCGUGUCUCAAAUAUUGUGCAUGUUACAUGUACUGUGAUUGAUUUAGUAUAGCUUGUAUUCUAAAUUUACGUUCAGUGUGCUGGUAGGUUGUUGACCUGGCAUACAGUGUAGAAUUCUGUGUGGGUGAUUCUACAGCUACAUUGUCUGCUGGGUUUUAGGCCCUACUCAAAUAACUCACUCAAUCUCACGGUAAGUAUUUUCUCCCAAUUCAGAGACCGUGUGACAAUGCUUUUGUAUCAUCAAAUAAAUACAAGUUAUAGAAGUAUUGUUGUGAUUUCUAAUGCGUUGAGGUCCGCUGUAUUUGGAUUGGGCCCUGUUGUCUAGAAAGUACAAUAUUUUACUAGGAUCCUGUGUUCACCGUGGCCUUGAAAUGUACAUUAUGUCUUAGAAGUUGCAGCACAAAAUAAAUGAAUGCAAAACAAUUCAUUAUUUCUGCAGACAUACUGUACGCACACAUUGGUGAAAGUAAUUAUAUCCAUGGAUUAUUUGACAAUUGUGUUUAAUGACUCGUCAUAAAACAUUCUUCAAAACAAUAAAACAAUUUUAAAUGUCA